CCUGGAUGAAGUCUGAAUCCAGCCAGUUGUACACUAGUUAGGGGAAGCAAUUCUUUACCACCAAUAGGAGGUUUCUCAAUUACAGAACGGAGGGAACUAUUAUCCUGAUGACCAGGGGUGUCAAUCAUUCCAGAGAAACCUAAUAUUUUCGUCAGGCGGUCGGGGGUCCAUUGCUGAACUACAAUAUUGGAGCUGAAUUAGGAGGUAGAGGCCUUGCGACUGGCCAGUCCUUCGUCCAAGGAGUCCUACUGAAUGUCUAUAGUAAACCUCUUCCAGUCUGGAGGAUAGAAAGACUGGCCAUGGAAGAUGUAUCCACUUUAUAUUUGUCAUCAAAAGAAAGUCAUGAUAUGGAUGGAUAAAACAUGAACCAAUGAAGAUCAUUAUGUUCAGCAAGAUUAACUGCCACCACAUUACUGCAACAGUGUGUGAGAUCAUUUACCUGAAGAUGGAUAAGCUGUACGGAAAGCGCAGAGUAUCCACAUUGAUCUGCCAAUCUGCCAUCAGACAUAAAUUGUGGGGUGACCUAAUGAAGUGAGUACUGAUGGAGAAUGUGAGAAGUAGGACUGAAUUUCCUUGCAUGAUUACUUCAUCAGAAAUAUGCCUAGAAGUGUGUAUGUGCUGUGCAUUGUUGCUAACAAUGCACUGACAGUGAACACUUGCCACAGAAAGGUAAAUGCCCUAAAGACAGACUAACAUCUGUAUGCUUCAGUGUCAAUAAACUGUGUUAACAUUUAAUAGGAAAACUCUGUAUAUAUAAAAAAAGAAAUAGCAACUGCUUUCUUUUGUGUAAACCAAUCAAUGGUAAUCUGUUUCUUCAGAGUCAAGCAGAUACAACCAGGAAAGCCUUACUUCCCUAAAUUUCUUUUUAACUGACACCCACUUGGCAUGGUACAAUUUUAAUUCUGACAUGUUUAUGAGGUUGAUUCAGAAAGUUAAAAUAAUAGAUAUAUUGAUGUCAACUUGUGAUGCAACUUUGAAAUUGCAUAAAACCAUGCUCAAAGUAUUGUUCUUGGACAAAUACACACAUUUGUAACUGUGUGUAUAGUUCUUGAAAGCAAUGCUAGAAAUAAUUUUCCAGAAUGCUCUUCAGAGUGUUUCACAUCAUGCUCGCUACUGAAAUGCCAUUCCUUCAGCUGAGAUUUCAUGACCCUAAAGAUGCGAAAGUCUGGCAAGAGAUCAGGCGAGUAUCAAAGGUGUGGCAUUAUUGUCACAUUGGUUCUGCCAGGUCGCUACAAUGUUGACAUCUUGAUGGGUGAUAGUGCCUUUCCAAUAGAAUAAUUCAACACCACUUAGCAGACGAACUUAUAAAGUAUGUGGCAUGUUUGGCACACCAUACAUUUCCCAGUGAUGCUCUUUCAUGAAACCACCACUAUUUUCUGAUUUCCAUACCUAUGACUGCCACAAUGAAUCUGUUACUGGAACUUUCUGAACCAACUUCAUAUGAGUUUGUGGUGAAAUGUGACAAUCGAUUAUUAUGAAAACAAUGUAGAUAAGUACUUUGAAACAUUUUGUCUGUAAACAUAAUAAUAUCCCUUUUACAUAAGUGUUUUAAGACUUGUCCUCCUACAAAGUAUAAUACUUCAAAUUAGUAAGUAAAUACACAAACACAGACAGAUAUCCAAUUGAGAUAUAGCAUAUAAUCACACUAUGUUAACAAUUCUUGUUCCUUACAGAAAUUAAGCUAGAUAUCAGGCUCCAAUAUUCACUAUGCAUUCUAUAUUUUCAACUAUGACAAUGUAUCUUACACCAACAUAAUAUUAUCAGUAAAAAGAAUAAUUUCUACAUUAAGUUAAAUGCAAAAUUACAGAUACUACCUGUAGUAAAAGUAAACAAUUAUUUUAUUUCAAAUCUAACCAAUCACAAUCAUCAUUGGCUUGAUUAGUUUGCUUUCAUAUUCAUGAUGAAUAUAUAUUCUACACUGAAUGAUCAUUUAAAUUCUAAUCUAAAUGUAUCAUUGCAUUUCAAAAUGAUGUCUGAAAGCAAGUAAGUACUCAAAAGCAUCGCACUUUCAGUUCAUUCAUUUGAUGUUACAUGUUCUGAGUUACUGACAGAGUUGUUAAAUAAAACAUAAACAAAUAAAUAGUUAACCCUUACAGCUCUGUCUGAAAAUCAAGAUACAAAAUAAUGCUCCUAACUUUGUGUUGUAUGUACUGUUGCUUGUACUACAAAAAAUACAGAACUGCAGAGCUUCACCAACUGUUCUCAAUAUAAAGACAAUUAUAUUACAUGAGUUCUAAGCCAAACACAGUCAGUUCUUGAUUAAGUCACAUUCCAGAGAGUCAAAAUAAAGUGCAACCCUUGUGUAGUGUCACAGAACAAUGGAGAAAUGGUGUGUAUCUGAUUACCCAAACCAAUAUAUUUUAUACAUUUAUUUUUAGUUACAUAUAAAGUUAUGGACAAUGAAGUUUCCAUAAUAUCAUUUUCAGAAUAUUUAUACUCUUCAUAAACUUUGAUAUUAUAUACACAAACUUGUUACAUUCAGACAACAGUCUCAGGUCCCAAUAUCUGUGAUAUCACACAACUGGGAUCAGUAAGCUGUUUAAAGAAUUACAGUCUAAGAGCGGGCUGGAGUAACUAAUAACAAGCUUGGAGCUGGAAAUAAUCACGUGCUGUAAAUUUAAAAAUCGAAAAAUAAAUCAAUAUGUUACAGUUGUU